CUCACUCAUUUUGAGACUCCGCGUCCUACCUCUCUUCUCGACUCGAACCUUCUCAGCUCUCUCGAUUCCUCUUCUCCUCCGCCCACCUUCUCCGAAUCUCGACUGUGGCCAGCACCACACCUCUCGACCACACCACAGAAAAACCACACACACACCUACCGCUAUAUCUCUCUCCGAUUCUCUUUCUUUCGAUCGAGCGACUCUCUAGCCCAAGAAGGGAGCAAUGGAAGAGGUCAAACAUAAACCUAGGAAGGAGGGGGAAUCCAAGAGGAGUCAUCGAGAUCGGGAUCGUGAAAAGGAGAGAAAUGGAGAGAGGCACAGGGAUAAAGAUAAGAGAGACCGUGAUAGUCGGCGCUAUGAGAGAGAAAAGAGUUCUGAUUCUGAGGAGAGGUACGAUAGGGAGAAGCAUGGAGACAGGGAUAGUGAUAGGAAGCGCAACCGAGAUGAUGAAAGAGAGAGAACAAGAGACAAAAAGAGGGAUAAAGAUAAGGAGAGGGACAAAGACAAAGAAAAGGAGAAGAGAGAUAGGACUAGAGAGAAGGAAAAGGAAAGGGAAAAAGAAAGGCAAAGAGAAAAAGAAAGAGAAAGGGAAAAAGAACGACAAAGAGAAAAGGAGAGAGAAAAAGAAAAAGAACAUGAAAGAGAAAGAGAAAGAGAAAGAGAAAAAGAAAAAGAACGAGAAAGAGAGAGGGAGAGAAGGGAACGAGAAAGAGAGGUAGAAGAUAAGAGGGAGCGAGAGAGGGAGAGGGAAAAAGAUAGAGAUCGGGAGCGGAGGGUGCGGGAGAGGGAGAGGCGUAGGGACAUUGAUGCUGAUGAUAUUGAUGAUGAUGGUAGGGAGCGUGAUAGGAAGCGACCUAGGAAAGAUAACAAUGACUACAAGGAGAGAGAGAGGGAAAGGAGUAGCAGCAGGUCAAACAGACAUAGGGAUGAUGGAGAUGGGAGCCCCAGAAAGAAGUCUGAUGAAGGUGAUUCCUCUAAGGAAGAACAACCAACCCGUGAGGAGGAGAUGGAGGAUGAACAACGGAAAUUGGAUGAUGAAAUGGAAAAGCGGAGAAGGAGAGUUCAGGAGUGGCAAGAGUUAAAAAGAAAGAAGGAAGAAACUGAGAGAGAGAAGAAUGGGGAAGGGGAUGCUGAUGAACCUAAGUCAGGAAAGGCCUGGACUCUUGAAGAAGAAUCUGAUGAUGAAGAAGUACCUUCCUUAGAGAAAUCAGAGACAUGUAUAGAUGUUGAUGAAGAAGACGAUACUGACAGAAAAGUUGGAGAUGCUGUGGCGGUAGUUUCUGAAGAUGAAACAGCUGCACCCGCGUUGCACAAUGGGGCUGAUGAUGCUGCUGAUGAUGAGGAAGUUGAUCCUUUAGAUGCUUUUAUGAAUUCUAUGGUAUUGCCUGAAGUUGAGAAGCUGACCAAUGCAGUUGAACCGUCAAUUGUUGAUGAAAAGAACAAGGAUAAGAAGGAUGGUCGAAACAAUGGUGAACAACCAAGGAGAGGUUCAAAUAAAUCUAUGGGCAGAAUAAUUCCUGGGGAGGAUUCUGACUCAGAUUAUGGGGACUUGGAGAAUGAUGAUGAUCCAGUAGAAGAUGAAGGUGAUGAUGAGUUCAUAAAAAGGGUGAAAAAGACAAAAGCUGAGAAGCUUGCUGUAGUUGAUCACUCAAAGAUAGAUUAUGAUCCAUUUCGUAAAAAUUUCUAUAUUGAAGUGAAGGAGAUCUCAAGAAUGACCCCAGAAGAGGUGGGGGUGUAUCGGAAACAAUUGGAAUUGAAGAUCCAUGGUAAAGAUGUGCCCAAGCCCAUCAAGACCUGGCACCAAACUGGACUUACAAGUAAAAUCUUGGAAACAAUAAAAAAGCUUAACUAUGAAAAGCCAAUGCCAAUUCAGGCUCAGGCAGUGCCUAUAAUUAUGAGUGGUCGAGACUGCAUUGGCAUUGCAAAGACUGGGUCAGGCAAAACCCUUGCAUUUGUGCUGCCAAUGCUGAGGCAUAUCAAGGACCAGCCACCUGUGGUAGCUGGAGAUGGGCCUAUUGGGCUUAUAAUGGCACCAACGAGGGAGCUUGUUCAGCAAAUUCACAGUGAUAUUAAAAAGUUUACAAAGGUACUUGGUCUCAGGUGUGUGCCUGUAUACGGAGGUUCUGGUGUUGCCCAACAGAUUAGUGAAUUGAAGCGGGGGGCCGAAAUUGUCGUCUGUACCCCUGGUAGGAUGAUUGACAUACUGUGCACAAGUGGGGGGAAAAUAACAAAUCUGCGUAGAGUUACUUAUUUGGUUGUGGAUGAAGCUGAUCGAAUGUUUGACAUGGGCUUUGAACCACAGAUCACCCGAAUUGUACAAAAUAUCCGGCCUGAUCGUCAAACUGUUUUGUUUUCUGCCACCUUCCCUCGCCAGGUUGAAGUCUUGGCACGCAAAGUCUUAAACAGACCUGUGGAAAUACAAGUUGGUGGAAGGAGUGUUGUGAAUAAGGACAUAACACAAUUAGUUGAAGUGAGGAUGGAAAAUGAAAGGUUCUUGAGAUUGUUAGAGUUGCUUGGGGAAUGGUAUGAGAAAGGAAAAAUUUUGAUAUUUGUUGAGUCGCAGAACAAAUGCGAUGCGUUGUUCAGGGAUCUGCUUAGGCAUGGGUAUCCUUGUCUCUCACUUCAUGGGGGCAAAGAUCAGACAGAUCGUGAGUCCACGAUAACUGACUUUAAGAGCAAUGUUUGUAAUUUGUUGGUUGCAACAAGUGUUGCUGCCAGAGGGUUAGAUGUGAAGGAGCUUGAACUGGUAAUCAAUUAUGAUAGUCCGAAUCACUAUGAAGACUAUGUUCACCGUGUUGGCCGAACAGGGCGAGCUGGCCGGAAAGGUUGUGCUAUAACUUUUAUCUCUGGGGAAGAUGCUAGAUAUGCUCCGGAUCUUGUCAAAGCGUUGGAACUCUCUGAGCAAGUUGUUCCAGAUGACCUAAAGUCUCUUGCUGAUAAUUUCACGGCAAAAGUAAAUCAGGGACUUGAGCAAGCUCAUGGGACUGGUUAUGGGGGAAGUGGUUUCAAAUUUAAUGAAGAGGAAGAUGAAGUGAGGAGAGCAGCAAAGAAAGCACAGGCCAAGGAAUAUGGUUUUGAGGAGGACAAGUCAGAUUCAGAAGAUGAAGAUGAUGGUAUUCGAAAGGCAGGGGGCGACAUCUCACAGCAGGCUGCCCUUGCUCAGAUAGCUGCCAUUGCUGCUGCCUCCAAAGCUAGUACAGCUUCAAUGCAGACCCCUGCCUCUGCUGCCCAACUACUUCCAAGCAGUGGACUGCCUGUUUCUCUUCCAGGUGUCCUUGGUCUAGCGUUGCCAGGAACAGCAGCAGUUGCGGCUGGGACUGGUCUGCCUCUUGUGGGCAAUGAUGGGGCUGCUCGGGCAGCAGCAAUUGCAGCUGCAAUGAACUUGCAGCAUAACUUGGCAAAGAUUCAAGCUGAUGCAAUGCCUGAACACUAUGAAGCAGAAUUGGAGAUAAAUGAUUUUCCCCAGAAUGCUCGAUGGAAGGUUACCCACAAGGAAACUUUGGGCCCUAUAUCAGAGUGGACUGGGGCUGCCAUUACUACCAGGGGUCAGUAUUUCCCACCAGGCAAGGUUACAGGACCAGGAGAUCGCAAGCUCUACCUGUUUAUCGAGGGCCCUACUGAACAAUCUGUCAAGAGAGCUAAGACAGAAUUAAAACGUGUUUUGGAAGAUAUCUCAAAUCAGGCAGUAUCGCUUCCUGGUGGAGCUCAGCAAGGCAGAUAUCAAGUUUUAUAAGUGUGAGAACUCAACCCCAACUUACUGUAGGCAUUCUGUUAUCUGCUUUUGCCGAAGUUAAUUUGAUUUCUUGUUCCUUGCAAAAUGUUUCUCGGUUGUCUAAUGAGGUCCAUAUGUCAUGGUUAUGGUUAACUGAUUGUGUUGAACAUGCCUUAAAUGUUCAACUUGUACUAUAAGCCUACUUUAUUAGCCACAAGUGAAAUUUCAUUAGUCUUUUCUUGAAUACUAGAUAAGCUUCAUUUACACAUGUCAUCUAGGAAGUCAUACCCUCGGAUUAAAUGUUUGUGGAUUGUACUUGCUUUGCGCAAUUUUGGACCCCUUUUAAUUUUCUUUUCUUUCUUUUGUUUACCAUUUCCAUUGCGCGAGGGGUGUAAUGCAUAUGCUCGCAUGUUCAAUAGUGUCUCUGCCCAUUUCAAAGCUGUCCAAGAGAUGAGACCGUGGUUUUGUUUGGAAAUUGCUGGGGACAACUGGUGAGACUUCCUUAAGGUAGCGCUGGAUAACAUCUUAAAGGAUGCGUUUCUAGUAAGAUGGUCAUUAUUAUUGUUCUGCAUCCUUUCUGUACUGUUGAAAGGUGGCAUUUAAUUUGGUUCGAUCAGCAUCAGCUGUCCUCAAAAUUGAUUAAGCUUUCGGUGUUGGUGUUUGCUAUAAUGGGUUACUGAGCUCCUUGCUGAGAUCACUAGUCUUGUGCCCUUUGCUUUGUUGCAGUGUCUGUAGUGCAGACUGCCUUUGAAUUUGGUCCUAUACUUCUUCAUUGUCACGUUCAUUUAAUUUGAUGGGAAUAUGUUUUAAUCAUCCAAAGUGGUGGCUUUGGUUUUGCUUUCUACUUGGGCCAUCAAAAGAAGAAAAUACAUGGAAGUGAUCAUUCCUUAUAAUCCAGCGAUACUUGUAGCGAGCGCUUUCAGUUGAUUCCACCACUUCCAUGGGUAUAAAAUCUCAUUGAAAGCGGGGCUCUUCCGUUUGGAGAGCGGUCCUUACCCUAACAGCUACUUUGGUAGGUUGGAUGGAUGGAUGGAUGGAUGAUGGGAUAGGUGGUUAGGAUUAGAAUAAGCCUAGGAAAUGCGUUAUUGCUGAUAAUGGUAUACAUGCAUGCAGUUUUUUGGCACUUGCUUGAGAGUUGGUACGGUAGCAGAAACCAGUAGGGAUAUUUUACAAGAUUUUUUCUUUUUGCGUCCUCAGUCGUUUGUAUUUGGCAAAUUUGAUUGCUGAAUAUAACGCCGCCGACAGAGCAUUCUGUCUAAUUAUCUAUCUGUUCAAAUGAUUACUCUGGUUUUUCGUC